rnacentral:rRNA from 1 species
AUACGUAGGGGGCGGGCGUUGUCCGGAAUUACUGGGCGUAAAGGGCGUGUAGGCGGCCGAGCAAGUCAAGUGUGAAAAGCCUCGGCUUAACCGAGGCAUUGCACAUGAAACUGCAUGGCUUGAGUGCAGGAGAGGGAAGUGGAAUUCCUAGUGUAGCGGUGAAGUGCGUAGAUAUUAGGAGGAACACCAGUGGCGAAGGCGACUUCCUGGACUGUAACUGACGCUGAGGCGCGAAAGCGUGGGUAGCAAACAGGAUUAGAUACCCUGGUAGUCCACGCCGUAAACGGUGAGUGCUAAGUGUUAGAGGGUUUCCGCCCUUUAGUGCUGCAGCAAACGCAUUAAGCACUCCGCCUGGGGAGUACGGUCGCAAGACUGAA